rnacentral:tRNA from 1 species
GGGCCGUUCGUCUAAUGGCAAGAUCCGCAGGUUGACGAUAGCGGGAUGCGGGUUCGAUUCCCGCACGGUCCA